UACGAAGGGUGCAAGCGUUACUCGGAAUUACUGGGCGUAAAGCGUGCGUAGGUGGUUUGUUAAGUCUGAUGUGAAAGCCCUGGGCUCAACCUGGGAAUUGCAUUGGAUACUGGCAGGCUAGAGUGCGGUAGAGGGUAGUGGAAUUCCCGGUGUAGCAGUGAAAUGCGUAGAGAUCGGGAGGAACACCAGUGGCGAAGGCGACUACCUGGACCAGCACUGACACUGAGCACGAAAGCGUGGGGAGCAAACAGGG
rnacentral:rRNA from 1 species